CUUCAACAAAAUGUGGUAAGUUUUUAAUAUUUGUACACUUAUAAAUUUCUAAAUAUAAAUUUCUUUGUAGAAUUCCCAUCACGUUGCUGCUAUAGCAAACAAUCCGCAGUCGCAGCCCCUCGACCUCUGUGUGAAAAAUGAAGUUUCGCCGUCCACUAGCCGUCAGCUUCAAGGAGAGCAAUCUCAGCCCCUUGAUCUCACUGUAAAACAUCCACCGUUGCCAUCUGCCCCUGGCGACUACAAACCCCAAUCGCAACCCCUCGAUCUCUGUGUGAAACAUCCACCGCAACCUUCAACUUCCGGCGCAAAGCCUAAGCGAAAGCAUGCUGCUCCGUGUGUAAAUAAUAUUCUUAACCCUCAACCAUCAACAUCGAGACUACAACCAACCGCACCUAUAGUGCCCUGUGUA